rnacentral:rRNA from 1 species
CGUAGGAACCUGUCACGCAGUGGGGGAGUAACGCUGGGAAACCGGCGCGUAAUACCGCAUGAGGUUGUCAUGGGAGACCAUGGCAAAGAAAGCAGCAAUGCGCUGUGUGAGGGGCCUGCGACCGAUUAGCUAGUUGGUGGGGUAAGGGCCUACCAAGGCGACGAUCGGUAGCUGGUCUGAGAGGAUGGUCAGCCACACUGGGACUGAGACACGGCCCAG